rnacentral:misc_RNA from 1 species
AUGAAGAACGCAGCGAAAUGCGAUAAGUAAUGUGAAUUGCAGAAUUCAGUGAAUCAUCGAAUCUUUGAACGCACAUUGCGCCCGCCAGUAUUCUGGCGGGCAUGCCUGUUCGAGCGUCAUUUCAACCAUCAAGCCCCAGGCUUGUGUUGGGGACCUGCGGCUGCCGCAGGCCCUGAAAACCAGUGGCGGGCUCGCUGUCACACCGGGCGUAGUAGAUUUUAUCUCGCUCAGGGCGUGCUGCGGGUUCCGGCCGUUAAAAAGCCUUUUUUACCCAAGGUUGACCUCGGAUCAGGUAGGAAUACCCGCUGAACUUAAGCAUAUCAAUAAGCGGAGGA